rnacentral:rRNA from 1 species
UACUAGAGUAGCACUCGCAUAUCAAUAAGCGGAGGAAAAAGAAAACUAACAAGGAUUCCCCUAGUAACGGCGAGUGAAGCGGGAAGAGCUCAAAUUUUGAAAAUCUUAAAGGGUUUUCCCUAUACGAAUUGUAGUUUUAAAGAAGUGUUUUUUCUGUUGAGGUUUUUGGUAAAAAGUUUCUUUGGAAUAGGACAUCAUAGAGGGUGAGAAUCCCGUAUUUGACCUUUACUUUCAACUUUGUGAUACACUUUCAAAGAGUCAGGAUUGUUUUGGGAAUGCAGUCCAAAAAUGGGUGGUAAAAUUUUCAUCUAAAGCUAAAUAUUGGCGAGAGACCGAUAGCGAAACGAGUACCGUGAGGGAAAGAUGAAAAAGAAACUUUGAAAAAGAGAGUUAAAACAGUACGUGAAAAUUGUCAAAAGGGAAGGCGUUUUGACACCAGUGUUUGUUUUUUUCUGAAAGGUCAAUUAAAGAAACUGUUUUAUGCUAAGCUUGUUUUAGACUUUAUCAGCUAUCUGUUUUAGUUUUUGAGCUUUUUCUUUAAUGCACUUUUUCAGUUAACAAGUCAACAUCAAUUUCUUUUUGCUGUAAAAAAAGCUUGAGGAAGGUGGCUUGAGAUUCGUCUUAAGUGUUUUAUAGCCUCUUGCCUAUGCAGUCGGAGAGAUUGAGGUCUGCAGCGUAGAUCCUUCGGGGCUAAAUGCAUUUGUGCUAAGUUUAUAGCAUUUUUAUAGACAAACUUGUUGACUAUGAUUUUGUCUUGUAGCUUACUCGCUUAUGUUAUUUUUACCUACGCUUAGGAUGUUGAGCGCAUGUCUCUCUCU